AAGUCGUAACAAGGUUUCCGUAGGUGAACCUGCGGAAGGAUCAUUAUCAAUGAUAUCCAUCAUCAUACACUGUGAACCUUAAUAAGAACUGUCUUUGGGGAUUUACAAGUCCCCAAUUAAUUAAACACAACCUUACAACUUAUAGCAGAGUCAAUUAUUAAAUUAAUUUAGACAACUUUUAGCAACGGAUCUCUAGGUUCUC
rnacentral:misc_RNA from 1 species